GAAAAUAACUUGAUCUCGUCACAUGGCAUGUGUGAUUGGGUGUUAUUAUAUUCAACUUAAACUGCAUCAAUUGUGCCAAUAAAUAUAAAAUAAAAACUCAAUUAUUAGAAACAGAUAUACGAGAUAUGAUACUAGUCACGUAACAAUCCUCGUAGAAUGCGUGAAUCCCACACCCAAUAUCUCGAAAAACUAAAUAUAUGCGUUGAAAUAAUAGGCGACAAAAUCCAAACAAUAACAAUAUUCUAAACGACAAUAUAUUUGGCUACAACAAGAUGGUGCCCAACUAUGGAUGUGUGGUGGGGUAAAUACCUAAAUAAUGUUUUUCCCAGAAGAUGGAAUCGAAGGCGCGAUCACCCAACAUGAAUCCUUUAGACUAUUUUCUGUGGGAUUAAAAACCUGACAAUAUCCAGGAAUUAAAAGAUAGGAUUACCGCAGAGAUAAGAGGAAUUGAGCAUUGGACAAAAUUUUGGGCAGCAUCUGCUGUAAUCACAAACUUGGAUCUAUUUAUAACAUGACAUAAACAUUUAAAGAUUUAUCUUUAGUUAUUGUAUGUUUUCUGAGCAUGAUUUCGAUUUGGACACUAGACCUUGUUACGAAAUUUGUAUUAGCACAUAAAUUAUUAAAGAAUAUUCAAAUUGAAUGAGAAUCGUAGCCUGAAUGUACAAUAUUUACUGUAACUUUGGUGGAGAUACUGUAAAUGUAGAUAUAACUCCGAAAUUGACAUAUAAAUA